rnacentral:sRNA from 1 species
UGAAACAGAACCAAGCGGGGGGGCAGC